UGGGGAAUUUUUGGACAAUGGGCGAAAGCCUGAUCCAGCAAUGCCGCGUGUGUGAAGAAGGCCUUCGGGUUGUAAAGCACUUUUGUCCGGAAAGAAAUCCUUGGCUCUAAUACAGUCGGGGGAUGACGGUACCGGAAGAAUAAGCACCGGCUAACUACGUGCCAGCAGCCGCGGUAAUACGUAGGGUGCAAGCGUUAAUCGGAAUUACUGGGCGUAAAGCGUGCGCAGGCGGUUUGCUAAGACCGAUGUGAAAUCCCCGGGCUCAACCUGGGAACUGCAUUGGUGACUGGCAGGCUAGAGUAUGGCAGAGGGGGGUAGAAUUCCACGUGUAGCAGUGAAAUGCGUAGAGAUGUGGAGGAAUACCGAUGGCGAAGGCAGCCCCCUGGGGCCAAUACUGACGCUCAUGCACGAAAGCGUGGGGAGCAAACAGGAUUAGAUACCCUGGUAGUCCACGCCCUAAACGAUGUCAACUAGUUGUUGGGGAUUCAUUUCCUUAGUAACGUAGCUAACGCGUGAAGUUGACCGCCUGGGGGAGUACGGUCGCAAGAUUAAAACUCAAAGGAAUUGACGGGGUCAUAGCUGUUUCCU
rnacentral:rRNA from 1 species